rnacentral:rRNA from 1 species
GACGAACGCUGGCGGCGUGCUUAACACAUGCAAGUCGAACGGAAAGGCCCUGCUUUUGUGGGGUGCUCGAGUGGCGAACGGGUGAGUAACGCGUGAGUAACCUGCCCUUGACUUUGGGAUAACUUCAGGAAACUGGGGCUAAUACCGGAUAGGAGCUCCUGCUGCAUGGUGGGGGUUGGAAAGUUUCGGCGGUUGGGGAUGGACUCGCGGCUUAUCAGCUUGUUGGUGGGGUAGUGGCUUACCAAGGCUUUGACGGGUAGCCGGCCUGAGAGGGUGACCGGCCACAUUGGGACUGAGAUACGGCCCAGACUCCUACGGGAGGCAGCAGUGGGGAAUAUUGCACAAUGAGCGGAAGCCUGAUGCAGCAACGCCGCGUGCGGGAUGACGGCCUUCGGGUUGUAAACCGCUUUCGCCUGUGACGAAGCGUGAGUGACGGUAAUGGGUAAAGAAGCACCGGCUAACUACGUG